CCGAGUGGUGUGGAUGUUUAUUGGGCCUAAAGCAUCCGUAGCUGGCUAAGUUAGUCCCUUGUUAAAUCCACCGAAUUAAUCGUUGGAUUGCGGGGGAUACUGCUUGGCUAGGGGACGAGAGAGGCAGACGGUAUUUCCGGGGUAGGGGUGAAAUCCUAUAAUCCCGAGAAGACCACCAGUGGCGAAGGCUGUCGGCUAGAACGCG
rnacentral:rRNA from 1 species